AAGUCGUAACAAGGUUUCCGUAGGUGAGUAACAAAUCGAUCCCUGCUUCCGACUCAUCGGUCUGUUUUUGGUGCCGUGCUAACUAUCGUCCUAGGUGAACCUGCGGAAGGAUCAUUAUCGAGUUAGGGUCCUCUGGGCCCAACCUCCAACCCCUGUUUAACUCACCCUGUUUCUCGGCGGUGCCGUGGCGGUGUCAACCGCCCCUCCGGCUUCGGCGGGAGUGUGCCCGUCAGAGACCCUUUUUAAACUCUGUAUGAAACGUCACGUCUGAAAAACAAAAAAAUUAAGCAAAAAACUUUC
rnacentral:misc_RNA from 1 species